AUUGAACGCUGGCGGCAUGCCUUACACAUGCAAGUCGAACGGCAGCACGGGUGCUUGCACCUGGUGGCGAGUGGCGAACGGGUGAGUAAUACAUCGGACCGUACCUUAGCGUGGGGGAUAACGCAGCGAAAGCUGUGCUAAUACCGCAUACGCCCUGAGGGGGAACGCGGGGGAUCGCAAGACCUCGCGCGAUUAGAGCGGCCGAUGCCUGAUUAGCUUGUUGGUGGGGUAAAAGCCCACCAAGGCGACGAUCAGUAGCUGGUCUGAGAGGACGAUCAGCCACACUGGGACUGAGACACGGCCCAGACUCCUACGGGAGGCAGCAGUGGGGAAUUUUGGACAAUGGGGGCAACCCUGAUCCAGCAAUGCCGCGUGAGUGAAGAAGGCCUUCGGGUUGUAAAGCUCUUUUGUCAGGGAAGAAACACCGGCUCUAACACAGUCCGGGAAUGACGGUACCUGAAGAAUAAGCACCGGCUAACUACGUGCCAGCAGCCGCCGUAA
rnacentral:rRNA from 1 species